GGAUGAACGCUGGCGGCGUGCCUAAUACAUGCAAGUCGAGCGAACAGACGAGGAGCUUGCUCCUCUGACGUUAGCGGCGGACGGGUGAGUAACACGUGGAUAACCUACCUAUAAGACUGGGAUAACUUCGGGAAACCGGAGCUAAUACCGGAUAAUAUGUUGAACCGCAUGGUUCAAUAGUGAAAGACGGUUUUGCUGUCACUUAUAGAUGGAUCCGCGCCGCAUUAGCUAGUUGGUAAGGUAACGGCUUACCAAGGCGACGAUGCGUAGCCGACCUGAGAGGGUGAUCGGCCACACUGGAACUGAGACACGGUCCAGACUCCUACGGGAGGCAGCAGUAGGGAAUCUUCCGCAAUGGGCGAAAGCCUGACGGAGCAACGCCGCGUGAGUGAUGAAGGUCUUCGGAUCGUAAAACUCUGUUAUUAGGGAAGAACAAAUGUGUAAGUAACUAUGCACGUCUUGACGGUACCUAAUCAGAAAGCCACGGCUAACUACGUG
rnacentral:rRNA from 1 species